GAGUUUGAUCCUGGCUCAGAUUGAACGCUGGCGGCAGGCCUAACACAUGCAAGUCGAGCGGUAGAGAGAAGCUUGCUUCUCUUGAGAGCGGCGGACGGGUGAGUAAUGCCUAGGAAUCUGCCUGGUAGUGGGGGAUAACGCUCGGAAACGGACGCUAAUACCGCAUACGUCCUACGGGAGAAAGCAGGGGACCUUCGGGCCUUGCGCUAUCAGAUGAGCCUAGGUCGGAUUAGCUAGUUGGUGAGGUAAUGGCUCACCAAGGCGACGAUCCGUAACUGGUCUGAGAGGAUGAUCAGUCACACUGGAACUGAGACACGGUCCAGACUCCUACGGGAGGCAGCAGUGGGGAAUAUUGGACAAUGGGCGAAAGCCUGAUCCAGCCAUGCCGCGUGUGUGAAGAAGGUCUUCGGAUUGUAAAGCACUUUAAGUUGGGAGGAAGGGCAGUAAAUUAAUACUUUAGCUGUUUUGACGUUUACCGACAGAAUAAGCACCGGCUAACUCU
rnacentral:rRNA from 1 species